rnacentral:lncRNA from 1 species
UCACUCUCUCUUCCAGGUUACUCCUACCCUAUCUCAUAUCGAAACAUUGAGGAUAAUGUUCGGUUUAAGUGUGGGAGGAGAAAUUUAUCGCUUUUUAUCGUUUUCCUUUAUUUUUAUCGCUUUUUAUCGCUUUCCUUUAUUUAGUAUGUUUUAUUUGUUUUAGUUGUUUGUUUUUCCUUUCAAUAAAAUAACAUGUGCCUGACGAGUCAUUUGUAUAAUGUAUCCGCAUUUCUCC